rnacentral:tRNA from 1 species
CGUGCGCCUGGAGGGCGGACUGCUGGGCGUCGUCGAGGACGUCGCCGGUGGUGUUGAGGAACACCACCGCCUCGUACCGGGCGAGGUUGCCCGG